rnacentral:rRNA from 1 species
UACGUAGGGAGCGAGCGUUGUCCGGAAUCAUUGGGCGUAAAGCGCGCGUAGGCGGCCCGAUAAGUCCGUUGUGAAAGUCAAAGGCUCAACCUUUGAAUGCCGAUGGAUACUGUCGGGCUAGAGUCCGGAAGAGGCGAGUGGAAUUCCUGGUGUAGCGGUGGAAUGCGCAGAUAUCAGGAGGAACACCAAUAGCGAAGGCAGCUCGCUGGGACGGUACUGACGCUAAGGCGCGAAAGCGUGGGGAGCGAACAGG